GCUCCUUCCAGCGCCCUCAGCUGUGUUCCAGGCCAGCCCUCAGCCUUGCGGUUUGAGCAGGCAGCCUCUGCUUUCUGGGUUGCGGGAGAUGGGAAGGAGAGCGAGGGAACGGCCGUGAGUGCACCUGCCGUCUCUUGGGGAACAUUCUUAGAAGCUGUCACAUAUAGUACCCACUCAUGUUCUGUUGGCCAGAACGCAGGCAUCAGCGCAAGAAAUACCGAGAAAUGGCCUAUUUAUCCUGGGGCUGUGUAGAAGCUCCAGUGAGAAGGGAGAGGCCAGAGAGGAAGGAGAAGCUCCAGAGAGACUCCCGGAAGAGUUGGGGAUAGUCUGAGACAUGACGUCUUUGGGAAUGCUCUGGGACUCUGCUGUGAUGCCUUUCAGAUCCCCUAUCCUCAAAGGCAGUGCUCUCGAAACCGCACAUCUGCUCACCAAGUGAUUUCAGGCAAGUAUAAAUGGUUCCACCUCAUGAAAACUUUAGAAUUUGUACGUGGUCCAUCUGAAUGAAAAUCACUGGGAACAGUUACCCUUUGAUCACUUCCUGGCAUUGCCCAAUAACCUGUGCUGACCGUGAUGACACUGGGGCGAAGGAAUGCAGCAUGAUUUACUCUCCAAGCAGCAGGAGUAGAGUGUGUGCAUAUCGAAAAGUGAAACCACAUCUGAAUUGGGUUUGCAC